ACCUGCCGCAGGUUCGGGUCUCACGUAGUGAGACAACGGAGCCGCUUGCGGCGACGGCCCGAAGGGCGAGCGAAGCGAGUCAUCCUGCACGACCCACCA
rnacentral:sRNA from 1 species